CGGGUGCUAACGUCCGUGUGGAAAGGGAAACAACCCAGACCGUCAGCUAAGGUCCCAAAGUUAUGGUUAAGUGGGAAACGAUGUGGGAAGGCUUAGACAGCUAGGAGGUUGGCUUAGAAGCAGCCAUCUUUUAAAGAAAGCGUAAUAGCUCACUAGUCGAGUCGGCCUGCGCGGAAGAUGUAACGGGGCUCAAACCAUACACCGAAGCUACGGACAUGUUCUUUGAACAUGUGGUAGAGGAGCGUUCUGUAAGCCGUUGAAGGUGAGUUGAGAAGCUUGCUGGAGGUAUCAGAAGUGCGAAUGCUGACAUGAGUAACGAUAAUGAAGUGUGAAAAACACUCAACGCCGAAAAACCAAGGUUUCCUGCGCAACGUUAAUCGACGCAGGGUGAGUCGGUCCCUAAGGCGAGACUGAAAAGUGUAGUCGAUGGAAAACAGGUUAAUAUUCCUGUACUUCUAAUUAUUGCGAUGGAGAGACGGAGAAGGCUAGGCCAUCAGGGCGUUGGUUGUCCCUGUUUAAGGUGGUAGGCAGAGAUCUUAGGUAAAUCCGGGAUCUUGUUAAUGCCGAGAGCUGAUGACGAGCGUUCUUUAGAAUGCGAAGUGGUUGAUGCCAUGCUUCCAAGAAAAUCUUCUAAGCUUCAGAUAAUUAGGAACCGUACCCCAAACCGACACAGGUGUUGGGUAGAGAAUACCAAGGCGCUUGAGAGAACUCGGGUGAAGGAACUAGGCAAAAUGGCACCGUAACUUCGGGAGAAGGUGCGCUGGUGAGGGUGAAGUAUUUACUACGUAAGCCUUUGCUAGUCGAAGAUACCAGGCCGCUGCGACUGUUUAUUAAAAACACAGGACUCUGCAAACACGAAAGUGGACGUAUAGGGUCUGACGCCUGCCCGGUGCCGGAAGGUUAAUUGAUGGGGUUAGCGCAAGCGAAGCUCUUGAUCGAAGCCCCGGUAAACGGCGGCCGUAACUAUAACGGUCCUAAGGUAGCGAAAUUCCUUGUCGGGUAAGUUCCGACCUGCACGAAUGGCGUAACGAUGGCGGCGCUGUCUCCACCCGAGACUCAGUGAAAUUGAAAUCGCUGUGAAGAUGCAGUGUAUCCGCGGCAAGACGGAAAGACCCCGUGAACCUUUACUAUAGCUUUGCACUGGACUUUGAAGUUGUUUGUGUAGGAUAGGUGGGAGGCUUUGAAGCUGUGACGCUAGUUGCAGUGGAGCCAACCUUGAAAUACCACCCUGGCAACUUUGAGGUUCUAACUCUGGUCCGUUAUCCGGAUCGAGGACAGUGUAUGGUGGGUAGUUUGACUGGGGCGGUCUCCUCCUAAAGAGUAACGGAGGAGUACGAAGGUGCGCUCAGACCGGUCGGAAAUCGGUCGUAGAGUAUAAAGGCAAAAGCGCGCUUAACUGCGAGACCAACAAGUCGAGCAGGUACGAAAGUAGGUCUUAGUGAUCCGGUGGUUCUGUA
rnacentral:rRNA from 1 species